AAGGUAAAGUCGUAACAAGGUCUCCGUAGGUGAACCUGCGGAGGGAUCAUUACCGAGCGAGGGCCUCCGGGUCCGACCUCUCAACCCCAUGUUAUCCGACACUGUUGCCUCGGGGGCGACCCGGCCCCACACGGGCGUCGGGGCCCCCGGCGGACCGUCAAACGCUGCAUCUGUGCGUCCGAGUCUUAUGAGAAAUCAAUCAAAACUUUCAACAACGGAUCUCUUGGUUCUAGCAUCGAUGAAGAACGCAGCGAAAUGCGAUAAGUAAUGUGAAUUGCAGAAUUCAGUGAAUCAUCGAAUCUUUGAACGCACAUUGCGCCCUCUGGUAUUCCGGGGGGCAUGCCUGUUCGAGCGUCAUUUCACCACUCCAGCCUCGCUGGGCCUUGGGCGCCGCUGCUCCGUCGGCGCGCCCUAAUGUCUCCGGCUGAGCCGUCCGUCUCAAAGCGUUGUGGCAACUCAAUCCGCUUGUGGGACCGGGGGGCUCGUCGCCGUCAAAACACACCAUUUUACCAGGUUGACC
rnacentral:misc_RNA from 1 species